ensembl:snRNA
AAAAAGGGCAUCUGUUUUGUUUGGCAUAGCUGCGGAAGGGACUCUCUGACGCAGUUACGGAAUCGCUAUCAAGAGAUUUCGGAUGCGUAAUUUUUAAGACUCGGGGCUGCUAAUGACUGCUGUUCUUAGCGCCCCC